CGCCCCCGCGCGUCUGUCUGCGUUUCUGAGCCUGCUCUGACAGUGAUGUAACAAGGCCAGGCUCGCGCCGCGUCCCCUCUUUCCCAGACUCAGUGCUCCCUCCUCCUCCCGCGCCCCGCGCUCUGCGCGCUGAGCUGGCGCUGGGCUCCGCUUGCACAGCACCGGGACCGACGGGCACUUCUGGGAGAGCCGCUCUCCCACGUUCCACCUCCCCGAUGCAGAAUCCGUGGGGGAAACCAGGCUUUCCUCCCAGAACCAAGGGAGCGAGCCGAGGGGGCAGCUGCUGUGGAGGCUUCUGAGGAGACAGCCUGGCUUCUUUCACUACUUCCUGGAGAGGGCAGGAAACCUCAGAAUAGAAGAACGCUGCUCCCUGGUCAGCAAGCAGCCCCCAACCUGGAUGGAGUGAAAGAUGCGGCCUGAUGACAUUAACCCGAGGACUGGGCUGGUCGUGGCCCUGGUCAGUGUCUUCCUGGUCUUUGGUUUCAUGUUCACCGUCUCUGGGAUGAAAGGGGAGACUUUGGGAAACAUCCCCCUCCUGGCCAUCGGGCCAGCCAUCUGCCUACCAGGCAUCGCAGCCAUUGCCUUGGCCAGGAAAACCGAGGGAUGCACCAAGUGGCCAGAGAACGAGCUGCUGUGGGUCCGCAAAUUGCCCUGCUUCCGGAAACCCAAAGACAAGGAGGUGGUAGAGCUGCUGAGGACCCCUUCAGACCUAGAAUCCGGCAAGGGGAGCUCAGAUGAGCUGGCUAAGAAGGCGGGCCUCAGGGGGAAGCCUCCCCCACAAAGCCAGGGUGAGGUGUCCGUGGCCAGCUCCAUCAACAGCCCCACACUCACGGAGGAAGGAGAAUGCCAGAGCCUCGUCCAGAAUGGGCAUCAGGAGGAGACGUCCAGAUACCUGAACGGCUACUGCCCUUCGGGCAGUUCCCUCGCCUACAGUGCCUUGGACGUCAAGUGCUCAGCAAGGGACAGAUCUGAGUGCCCUGAGCCUGAGGACAGCAUCUUCUUUGUGCCCCAGGACAGUAUCAUCGUUUGCUCCUACAAGCAGAACAGCCCCUAUGACAGAUACUGUUGUUAUAUCAAUCAGAUACAAGGCAGGUGGGACCACGAGACCAUCGUCUAAUCUCUGCAUACAAAGGUGGCUGGAUUGAUAGAAUAUGACUAAGCCCAGCUCCCCGUGGAAGGAAAUUGCUCUGCUCGGAGAGCCUUCACACUGUUAGAAAUUGACCUGGUGCAACAUUACUUGAUAUGAUACUUUCAUAGAUUGGAAUUUGUUUUCAUCAAGACAAAAUGAAUUUUACAUAUAUAUCCAAGUCUUUAACAUUGGCAGACAGAUACGAAGGCUAUCAAGCAGAAUGCCAUUUGAUCCCUGGUGAAGAAAAAUAUGAAUUAUAUAUAGGAAUAGUGAUAGAGUUCAUCUUGAAGAUCAGAAGUAUUUUGUAUCCUUCAAAGAAUGAUCAUUUUAAGUGAUCAUAUAGUCUUAGUUACUUUCUCCCAAAAGGGGAAUUGAGGACAAAAAUUUGGGCAUAUAUUUUUUGUGUAUUUCAUUUCCAACUCUGCAAUUCUUUCUUAAGCAUAGCAAUUGUUCUGUCUUAAGAAUCACGCUCUUUUUAAAAAAUCAUAAUUUUCAAGUCAAGUUCAAGAUCAAAAAUAUGUAAUUAUUUUAGUAGGGCUUAAAUGUCAGAAAUGAGGUGCAUGAUCUUGGGCAAAUUUUAUCUUCUUACACCUGAGUUUCUUACUCUGUGAAGGGAGGGGGAACUGAUUUACGCUCGAUUAUUUCUAUCAUUCAUUUUCAGUUUAAAUAUUCUAUGGUGUUAUGUCAAAGGCACUUUACAUAUUGCCAGGAAAUAAGUUACAGCAAAAUGCAUGCCAAAGUUAUGAAAUUUAUGAUAAUUAUGUGACAUAGAUUGCACUGCUACUACUCAAAAAAGAAUUUUGUACAUGUAUGAAAGCAGAUGUGUUUUAUUACCAAAUUUCAUUUAUUCAACACAAUGCAUUCCUGAGAAUAAAAUGAACAUAAUCAGAGUAAAAUAUUUUUGAGGAGAAAACUUAAAAUGUUGGUAUAACUCAAAGUAUCUAAUACACAAGCUUGCACUAAAUGUGAUUGACAUUUGGAUUUGGGAUGGGGAGAGAUAGUUUCCUAAAAUCACAGUAACUUUUAAUAAUUGUAGUGCAUUUUGAAAACAGAGAAUCAUAUUUUUAUAAUGGUGAUAACUAUUGGAUAACUCUUAGGAAUAAAAACUUCCUUUAAGAUGUUUGCCACCGUUAGAGAUGAGGAGAUAGUAAGACAGAGAUGUUCACAGAGACUCAACAAAUCUUAGACAAUAAUGCUGCAAUUUUCUGAAAGAAGAUGCUUGUAGUGUCAGGUAUGGUUUGGGGGUUGGAAAAGUUACUUUCUGAUUUCUUGGAACCAUUUCAAACUCCUUUAUAUCAUUCUGUCUCUUUCCAGAUUGAGGGUCAACUACUAGUUUAGAGAUAUAAGGUAUUUUAUCUUGUUUUCAAGUUCUGCUUCAGAAAAAAACCUAUUUCAUGUUUCUUCUCCCAUUGCCUACUUAAGAUACUUAAGGUAUUUAAGUAUGCAUUUGAGGAAAUAUUUUCCUGUGCUAAAAUAAAGGUUUGCAAAUGUUGGUGUGAGAGGUUUUAACUUUGACCAGUGAGAAUAAAAUGUAUGAUUGUGUGUGUGAAUUUCUCCUAACAUAUUAACCAACCCCUUUCUAUAUGCAACAAGGUAGCCUGGUGCCCCAAAUCAAUACUUGUAAGUACUAUUCAGAGUUAAACUUCCAAAGUCAAAAAAAAUGUACACAAAAAAAGACUAAAAGCCACAUUCUUUUGAACAGAGGUAGAAGAGAAAGAGAAAAAAAGUGUUUCAGCCCUUUAGAGGAAAAGACAGCAACUCAUUCCGAUGAGUUAGACAGUUUUAGCAAAUUGUUCUUAUCAAUAUAAUAGACAUGAGGAUUGUUCCUGGUAGCCUUUAAGAGCUCCUAGACAGAUAUAAAUUUAAGUAGGUAUUACUUUAUUUUGCUGUUAAUCCAAAUAGACAUUGCAACUUGAUUUUGAAUAGGCAUUUUAUUUUCAAAAUUUCUCUACUGAAUUUCUCUUGCUCUGUAUGCCUACUUAUUGUGCACAUGGAUUGUUUUUCCAAACUGCUUCUUGAUUCUUAAGUGAGAAUUCAGACAAGAUACUCAAACGAGAGCAUAUUAGACAUCUGUUUUAAGAUUUUUUUUCUGUUGCAGUCAUCUUGGCAAACAAAAUCCAGAUACAGUUAAGUUCAGGCUCUCUUCCAAACCCUGCUAAGCAGCUGCUUUGAAAAUGUUUUCAAUACUAUGGAUCUUAAUAUCCACCGAGAUGACAAAUGUAGGAAAGGAAGAUUCAUUCUGUUAAAUGUUUUUUCUCUUUUGCAAUGUCCAAGCUCUACUUAUUUAUUAAUAGCCUCCCUCUGUACCCACAACAUCAUUUAUUUGGUGAAUUCACUAUUAUUAAUACUAGUAUUUUAUCACAUUAAAGAAAAGGUUUCUGAAAACCCGCAACCUCACUAUCCUAAAGCAACUACUGUGUUUCUAUUUUGGUAUAUCAUCUUCCAGGCUUCCUCCACAUGCAUAUGCAGCAUACAUAUUAUAAUAGUGUGUUUUUCUUUUCUCUUUGAAUUAUAUUCCAAGCAUGUUUCCAUGUUUCUAUGUAGUAUUUCUAAUUAUCAAUGAACAAUUGUGUAAUAUGCCAUUUUAGUGAUGUUCCAUAAUUUAUCAUGCCAUUCCUUAUUGCUGGCAAGAUACUAAGUUUUAUGGAUGAUUUUAUAUGUUUUUUCCUAUUGCUGGUUACACUGCUAUAUUAUUUGUUAUAUGCCAAUAGAGAGGAACUUUACUAUUGAACAGCUAUCUCCUUGUGGAUGAGAGAGAGGAGGCAGAAAUGUGUAAAUGAAUGGAACUCUCCAUAUUGUUGUGUGGGUCUUCCCUUCACUCUUGUGGAUAUAAGACCCAGGGUGGGAAACAAAAUAAUGCUUCUUCCAAAAGAUCCUCCCAUCAGGACCAGAACUAGUAUGUUUAGGAGUAAGACGGAACAUUUCCCCAGCUAAGAUACCAGUGGUGUGUUUUUCACAAUUAGAUUACAGUGGUGUCAGUCUUCAAGAGCAUCGUGUUCAACAAGCAAAAUGAUAAAUAGAUGUAAACAAUAAUAAUGACUUUGUAAUAUGCCAAAAGCAUUUUCUUAAAGUACCUCAUCAUAUAUUUUAUAAUAGACUGUAUUUCAUAUGUAUAUGUAUUGUCGCCUAUCAGUGACUUACAAACGAACUGAAAUUUCAGGAAUCUGAUAGACUCUGCCCUUGAGUUUUCUGUGUUUCAGUUUCCUACUGGGAAAAACUAAACUGAGGAUGGAAAUGGGGACAAAUGCUUGGUUUGCCUAAAUAUCUUAAUAAAAGACUAGAUUCCAUUC